UUGAUUUUGAUAAAAUCUAAUUUAUCACUUUUUUCUUUUAUAGGUCAUGCUUUCGUGUUAUAUGAGAAAACUCUGCCUAACUCAAGGAGGGUCUCAUGCUUGUGUCGGUGCCACAGCUGAAGGCCACCAAGAGGAUAUCCGAAGAUUAACAAGCUGGGUUUAUUACUCGUUUUAGCAAGAAAGAACACACACGGUGAAGAACAACGAGGAGUCUCAGUAGGAGAAGGAGGAAGUUGGGGAAGAGCGAGGCGAAGGAGUAGUAUCUUGUUCCGUCGGCAUCCUCGAUCCAAGGCUUUCUUGCGAAUUCGUUUUUACCACAUUUAAAGUGUGAUGCCCAGAAUGGAACUCGGAGCUGCUGGCGCCCCCAUCCAUCUUUGGAGGCUGCGGACAUAAUCAAUGGAGCAGGCAGAGGACCUGCAGUCCCAAGCCUGCUAGUUGGUGAGCCUGGAAUUGCUAUGCUCUUAGUAUCAUGUGUUCCAACUAUAAAUGCUUUCAGCAGCUUUUCCCACUGGCCACUUGGUCAUAUCUGUACCCAGACUGAACCAGUUCCUGACCCCAGGCCCUCCCCACCAUGCCCAUCCUACUGGGCUGCGGCUGCCUAUUGGGGCCACACCCUCCUGCCUGUAUAACCCUAACUUUGGAGCCUGCCGGUCCUGCCUGAGCUGCUCUUGCCUUUUGGAAACCAAGGAUUGAGCAUUGUUCCCUGAGUGUAUUUUUGGUUAUGACUUUCUCUUUUCUCCACAGAAAGGCAUCUCUCUGCAGGUGUUGGGCUUUCUCUGAGCUCAGCGGCUGCUCUUGGCCUUCUUUCUCCAGUUCCUGUCCUCCUCUACCAGUCUUGAGACCGCGGUGUGGAGUUAUGUCCCCUCUGUUUUGUCUGGCUGCUUCUGUCUGGGACGAUGGAAUCCUCAUUAAAUGGGAAAUGUUUAUGGAGGAGGGAGAUGGGGAAGUCAUUCACUCCUGUUAACAUUUCGGCUCAAGUUAGCUUAUUCAUAUGAAUGACACAAAGUCAUAAAUUGCUCCUAAUCAAAUCUGUGCACACAGUAAAGCCUCUUUUAUGCAAUGAGUGUUUACUUAAUUGAAUGUUACAUAUAAACGAAGGUUACUCCUUCAAGGGACAAACGUGAGGGAUUUCAAUGGAAAAUUCUGAAAAUGAGCCCCUGAAGGAAGGAAGAUGGGAGGUGAAAGAUGCUGAAAGAGAACAGAAUGGGGCCAAGAUGCUCCGGGAGAGCACCAUGGGAAUCCCAGUUGCUCUUGCGUUUCACUUCCAACGGCAAAACGAGGAUGAUGAAUUGCUUUCUGAGAAUCCCUUCCUCUUGCAGGGACUUUUGGCCAGAGACUUGUCCAUAAUAGGUUCUGCAUCAUGUCAGAGCCCUAAACCAUAAUGAAACACCAUUGCGUUUAUUAGAGUCCUCGUUGUGUUACCUUAGAUUCUUCCCCACAAGGGCAAACCCCCAGUAUUGAUGUCAAUGCUCCAUCAGAUUCUCCUGGUGUUAGACGGAAACGUGAGGCUGGAUCUGCUAAGUAACCUUCCACUCCUGUGUACUACAGAGGCCCUUCUGUAAGCCCCACCCACAGGGGAGCCAGACCUCUGCACCACAGAUCACGUACAGAAACUAAAAUGAAUGCUGACUCUCAGGAGGUCAUGAUAGGACUCAUUAUCUUGUCAUUUUUUUUUCAGAGCCCCAGAAGUUUGCAAUGAUAAAAACAAGAGCAUUUCAUGGGAAACAGCAUGCAAAAGCCCUUGCAUGCUGUCUAUUUUUAUAUAAAUCAGCAGAAGAUAAAGAGCUUGUCUUGAUUCAUGCUGUUCCUCCAGGGAAUGUUUUGAAAAAAGGCAAAAAAAUCAGUGAGAAGAGCGACGCCUAUAAAUACAGUCGGAAAGGAAAAUAAAAACAGCCCACUAAACGCUGAGUUUGACAAAAACCUAACAAAACCAAGGAACAUUUUUAUGUUUUUUCCUUUCAGUUUUACUUUUGAUCAUGUUUCUUCCUGAGGUUUUAUGAAUGUAUACAUCAAGUGGGAGAGACAAAGUCCCCAAAUAAUUGUAGAAUGAUGAGAAUGUAGGAAAGAGAAUGUAAGCCCUUGUAUUCCAUGUUAUUUUUCUCAGAAAAACUUACAGUUCCACAUUUCCCCUUCUGAUUUUCACUGGAAAGCAGUUUUCAUCUGAAAUGAAAUAAGUGAGGAUCAUGAGUUUGCCUGUAUGUCUUAUUUGAAGCCCGCGCCGUGUAGUGUCCUCACUUUCAAACCCGUGUCUCGAGUUUACCCUUCAAUUCCUGAAAGUCUGAAAUUUUAGAGGGACAAAGGAAAAUUAAGAAUUAAACUAAAAAGAGUUAAAUCGUGGUUAACAAACAUUUCUGUAAAAGGGGCAGGAAGUAAAUAUUUUCUGCAUUGUGGGCCACAAUUCAACCCAGCUCUGCCAUCAUAGCACAAAAGCAGCAAGGGACAAGAUGCAAACAGAGGGUGUGGCUGUGCACAUGAUUUUCACCUGUCAUAAAAUAUUAAUAUUCCUUUCAUUUUUUUCCAACCAUUUAACAGUGUAAGAAUGAUUCUUAGCUCAUGGGUUCUAUAGAAACAGGUGACAGCUGGACUUGACCCACGGGUCAUAGUUUGCUGACCUUUGUACUAAAUCAUGCUCUCGAUCCGACGUACCCUUAAAGUUGCUCUGAUAGACACAUUUCAACACUGGAAAACGGUAUGUGGAUUCAUCUGCUUUAUUGAAUACUGUUACUUUUGAUUACUGACCUCUGUCUUGGUUAAAGAUGCCAAGAACUUAAGCAUGACUCAGCAGGUGUUCUGUGACCUUGGGUCACAGGCCAGGGAGGAUGACAUAAAUAGGGUCAGAUGGCAUGUUGUAGUGGGAACCAUAAUGAUAGCAGCAGCUAAUGAAGCAGAACUGACUGUGUGUCUGGGACUGUUUGAAGGGCUUUAGAACACUUGCCCAGCUAGUCAACAUGAUGAACCUAGGAGAAAGGUGCUAACAUUCUCAUUGUGGAAAUAGAGAAAGAGGCACAGGAGGUUGACUGACCUACUCAAGAUGACAUACAGUCCAAGUGAAAGCAUCUGCUCCCACACUUGGGUGGGCCAAUCCAGGAACCACCCUGACCCAUUCCACUACAGAGAGGAGAGUUCUUCCCUGCCAACGACACAUCCUGAGAGAGGAGAGCAAUGAAAUAAAACUGAUAUGAAAAUCAUGAGCAAUGAAAUGAAAUGAAACUUGUAGAGCUGCUUAAUCUAAGAGUAAACAAAUUCUGCCAUAAAUGCCAAGGCUCCUGGCAAGUGACAGAAAUCAACAUUGACUAACUGAAGCUCACCUAAGUAGAAUGACCAGGUUGAGCGUCCCGAGAGCUGAGCCCAGAGACUAAAGCACUGUCCUAAGGAUGCCCCCUCCAUCCCUUGCCACCUCACAUCUCUGCCAUCUCCAUUCCACUUUUCAGAUCAGUCUCAUUGUUUCUCACUACAAUGAAACAAUGGUCAGGUGGUAAAAGUUGCUUCUGACAGCCCUACCCUAGAAGCUGGUAGGUCAAAUCAUGAGAGUAAGCUCCCUUCCCAUCAACUCCAGGGAAAAGUCCAGGGAGCUGCUCCAGUUACCUUCCAGUGGUGGUCAAAUGCUCUCCGAGAGUGAGUGCUAUGGGUGCUCUGGUGCCAUUUCCUCAGCCUGUUAUGAGCUCAACACAAUAUCCGGAGAGAGGGAGGUAACUGCCAGUCCCAUGGACACAUGGAUUAGGAAUAGAAUUCCCCAAAGAAGAGACCCAGGCACACUAGAGUCAGAGAGAACGGGCUCCUCAGCUGGUGUGACUGAACUCCAGGGAGCCCAGAGUAAGAAAGGACCCUUGACACCCUCCAGGAGACCCCAGGUAAGCCCAUAACAAAACUUCAUUAUAUUUCAGCUGAUUAGACUGGCUCAAAGAGAACCAAAAUGAUAGCAACUGGGUGUUUCCCUAGCAUUAGAAUCAUUGUGUGAAGUGGUUCUGGCUAAGCUCUAGCACACAGGUUUUCAGGUAGACUUUCCAUAGUCAGAUACAUAAACACACAGACACUCACAUGUGCACACGUGCAUGCACACUCGCACACGUGCACGCACCAUGCACAAACACAUGCACGCACACACGGGCA